UCCAGCAAUUCAUGCGACACCUAGCGGCAGUAGGGAGAAACGAAAUACGGAGGUCCAGUCGCCGUGUGUGCCGUAGAGGCUGCUGUCGCGGACGGAAGAAUGAAGCUGCUAGCAAAGAAAAAGCGAACGGCCAAGCAGUUCUGCUGUGUUCCUCGGUGCGUGCCAGCGAGAUGGAAGGACAGCGAUAUUUCCGUUCACGCACUUCCCUCCGAGUGGAAAGGCUGAAGCCGCAGAACCAGGUGGAUCGCUAACCUCCGCAUCGGCAAGGCUGUGACGCUUACAGUGACUGUUUGCUCACGGCAUUUUGCACGGGAUAAUUUCUCCUUACCAGAUGUAGCAUGUCAAAGACAGCGGCUGAAAAAAAUGCAGUACCAACUGAAAACCUGCCAAGGACGUCAUGUUAUGAUGAGAACAAGGAUGCUCAUAUGAAAGAGCUUUCACUGGCAAGACUUCGCCGACGUGUGUAUCGGUCAGCCAGAAAUGAAUCAAGCAAAGAAACUGUUGCCUCCCCAUUAGAAGCAAAGGUGUUGCCCCAUGCACCUGUCAGCACGACCACUAUGGUAAAUUGGCUGCCUGCAACUUGUGCACACAUUGCUUCACCACUAAUUCCUUGGGAUUAAACUCUGACAUUGCAGGACGAUCUCCCAUCCCCUGACCGCAACAGCAUGGACCAAAUAAGUGACAAAGGAAAUAUGGUAAUUUCUUUUUGUAUAUGUAUGUGUUGUGGUAGCUGUCUUUACCUAGACGGUGGCAUGCUUUCUGGAUUUACAUCGUAAAAGCAUUGUAGCACGUGGUGUGUGAUGGGUGCACAUUAAUUGCAACUUGUGCACACAUUGCUUAACCACUGGUUUCUUGAACUGAACUCUGUCUGACAUUGCAGGACGAUUUCCCAUCCCCUAACAGCACGGACCAAAGCCUUG